rnacentral:rRNA from 1 species
GGCAUAGGCGUAGGCUACACAUGCAAGUCGAACGGCAGCACAGGAGAGCUUGCUCUCUGGGUGGCGAGUGGCGGACGGGUGAGGAAUACAUCGGAAUCUACUCUGUCGUGGGGGAUAACGUAGGGAAACUUACGCUAAUACCGCAUACGACCUACGGGUGAAAGCAGGGGACCUUCGGGCCUUGCGCGAUUGAAUGAGCCGAUGUCGGAUUAGCUAGUUGGCGGGGUAAAGGCCCACCAAGGCGACGAUCCGUAGCUGGUCUGAGAGGAUGAUCAGCCACACUGGAACUGAGACACGGUCCAGACUCCUACGGGAGGCAGCAGUGGGGAAUAUUGGACAAUGGGCGCAAGCCUGAUCCAGCCAUACCGCGUGGGUGAAGAAGGCCUUCGGGUUGUAAAGCCCUUUUGUUGGGAAAGAAAUCCAGCUGGCUAAUACCCGGUUGGGAUGACGGUACCCAAAGAAUAAGCACCGGCUAACUUCGUGCCAGCAGCCGCGGUAAUACGAAGGGUGCAAGCGUUACUCGGAAUUACUGGGCGUAAAGCGUGCGUAGGUGGUUAUUUAAGUCCGUUGUGAAAGCCCUGGGCUCAACCUGGGAACUGCAGUGGAUACUGGAUGACUAGAAUGUGGUAGAGGGUAGCGGAAUUCCUGGUGUAGCAGUGAAAUGCGUAGAGAUCAGGGAGGAACAUCCAUGGCGAAGGCAGCUACGUGGACCAACAUUGACACUGAGGCACGAAGGCGUGGGGGGCAAACAGGAUUAGAUACCCUGGUAGUCCUCCCCCUGAACGAUGCGAAUUGGAUGUUGAGUGCAAGUUUUCACGACUAUCUAAGCUAAUGCGUUAAGUUCGCCGCCUGUGGAGUACCGUCGUGAGACUGAAGCUCAAAGGAAUUGACUGGGGCCCGCCCUACGCAGGAAUUAGGGGCAUUAUUUCAUACA